rnacentral:tRNA from 1 species
GGAGGCGUGUCAGAGCGGUUUAAUGAGCUGGUCUUGAAAACCAGAGUCCCGUAAGGGACCGUGGGUUCGAAUCCCACCGCCUCCU